rnacentral:lncRNA from 1 species
CUUCUCUCUAGUUGGGGUGCCUGUGAAACCGGCAGGCUCUCUCCAAAUGCCUGGAUUCUGCUGGGGGAGUAAGAAGUCAGGAGUAGUUUGUCUGAUGGUAUUGGGAUCUGCUUUGCAAUUGCCAAGCGCUAAGGCACAAGCUGGCAGAUGUGCUGCGGCUCUGCUACGGGCGGCUCUGUCGCCUUCAGUCGCAGGCUGGUUCUUUGGGGGAAAGUUGUAUCCAAUAUUGGUGACUCCCGGGAAUAGUCUGUUUGUGUGCUACUUAAUGGUCUCUAGGCUUCCUUGUCUUGUAGAACCUUGUUAGAAAGGAGCCUUGGUGAUUAAGAGGCUAUGGAGUACACAGCCUUGCUUAGCAGAUGAGCCCUUAUCCAUUUCCCGUUUCCUUAAAAACGGCUAAUUGAUGGAUGCUGCAGAAAACAUGCACUCUGCUAAUAAGAUGCUGAUGACAAAAUAGGUAUCAGGAAAGGCAUUUACUGCUUAUGAGCACCAUCAGCUUUCUUUCGAGUGAGAUUGUGGCUUUGUAGUAAAGUUUUUUUUUAAGUAAUAUGCUAAUAGUUUUAUUCUAAAUCGGCCAGCGCUGAAUAUCUUCAGGAAAAUGGGUUCCAUGAGAAGUGACAUCCUCCUCGAAUCAAAAGAUUCUCAGGAUGAUGGAGUGAGUGAUGGAAUAGGUUGCCAACUGUAGUUACUCCACUCAGCACAGAAUGGCUGCGGGGAAAUAUAAUCAGACAUGCCCAAAGAAGUCUGCUUAGGGUGAAACAAAUACCUUUGAGGUUUAAAUCAGGAAGGAGAGACUGUUUCUACAGGUGUCAUACAAAAAUCAAUACUGAGCCAAGGAUUAUUGGAUCCCAUAGAACCACGGAGACUUGGUAGUGAAAUUCUUCCAAAGCAUUCCAUCCGUGCAGGCAGAUGGUGUUCCUAGGUUUGGAAAUAUAAAUCCCAUGGGAAGUCAGCUGAAGACCAUUUUAUGCAUCACUCAUCCUGUUAGAGCCCUGUGCUGUUCUGUCUCUCUAUAAGACUGGCUGAAACCACCACGGUUGUUUACAAUUUAUGCUCUAACUUUGGAUCACCUAGUUAAUACUCUAACUCCGAUUAUUACCAAAGACAAUGUUCUAUAAAAGAUAUUGUCUAUUAGAAGGAUGCUUCUGCAUUAUUAAUAAAAUCACAGGGAAAAUGCAACAUUUUGGAUGUCACAUCUGAUAAGUUGGCAGUUAAAGAACAGAAACAGCAAUAAGACUGCGUGGCUACAUUUUCCCAGUGCCACCAACUGGGAUUUAAGCUGACUAACAUUUUGAAAGCCCAGCCCAUUUCAUUCACAGCAGGAUGGCAGUGGGUGACUGAUCGUACCCGCCAGCUGGCUAAUGUCAUAAUUAACAAAGUUGCUACUACAUCUGCAAAGUUUAAUCGAAAAAUUUGCCAGUGAUAUGAUGGCCUUGUCACAGAGAUCACAAGGGACACGGAGUUGACUUUUGCUCAAGGUGGAACGACAGAGCUGUGUAGGCAAGAUGAGAAAUUGCGAACUUGUUCGGCCAAAGGAGGCUAAUAAUGAAGGGGCCGGGAAGGAGGCCAGUGCUACCAGGGUUAUCUCACAACCUCAGAUGCUGGAUAAGUCGACGGAGGCAGAAUCGCUUUGGGAUGACAUUCAGAAAGCCUGGAGUGAUUACUUGCAAGAGAAAAGCCUACCUAUUCUUUCCAAGGUGCAGGAAUAUUCCCCUGACCUGCUCAUCCAGUGGUCCAGUAAUGAAUUACUGGAGACCUGCCUUAGACAAAGAAUGCACUCGGAGCCCCAACACACCUAAAGCCAUGCUUUGAAGGAUCUGCCAAGCUCACUUUUAAUCAUGAGAAAGAAAUUACCCACACGGAGUCAGCAGAAAAUGAGAAAGUAGAGCUCGUGCUGUGAAUAAUUCCAGCAAGUGCCAAGGGGCUAGUUGAGGAAUGGCUUCAUGAGAACAUGCUCUAGGGGAACUAUUAAUAGCCCACCAGUCGGGUAGGCAGCAUUCAAUCCUUCUAUGCCUUCUUUCGCCACCUGUUGAGGUCUUUCUUCUGAAACAAAGAAGAAAUAGACAAAUCAGACUUGCCCUCUUGGAAAUGUGGUCCAGAUUUCUCUACUCCCAAGCUCCAAAAAAGGUAUACAUUGGAUGGGCUAGAUCAACUCCUCCUGAGAGCCAUAAAUCCGCCAAGAGUUGUUUUCCAUGUAAGGGUGUGGUACAAUGGGGAACACCUGAUGUUGGAGGAAAGCAGGAGGACUUUAGAGUGGAGUUGCAUUCUAAUCUCUCUGCCGCUUCAACUAUGUGACCUGGGGCAAAUGAUAUAAACUCUAUGAGCCUCUUUCCUUAUCUUUAAAAUGAAGAGAAGUAAUACCUACCUUGUAGGGCUGUUGUGAGGAUUAAAUGAAGUAAUGCAUACAGUGCCUAACAAAGUAUUUAACAUCAUAUUUUUUAAAAGCUCAUGAAAUAUUAGUUUUUCUUCCUUCCCCUCUUUCUAUUUUCUCUCCUGUUCCCUUUUCUCUCCCUCCUCUGCCCUCUCCUUCCUUCAGAUGUUAGUCUAAAACAGCACCUUGGAUCUAAGCAGCACCUUUGAGAAAGAAAAGACUGCUUCAAGAAUGUCUAGUUGCACCUCCUUUCCGUAUGUGGCCUAAAUGCCUAGGUUGGAUCAAUAGUUUAAUUUUUUUAUUGAACUGUUUAAUAUUGACUAUGGACUUACAUUCACUUUUACUGUUUUCUGUAUAUUUACUUUUGCUUGAAGUGUUUUAAUAUUGACUAUUUACCUCUGCUCAUUUUUAUUGAUUUUCUGUAUUUUUUCAAUGAAAAUUAUAAUAAAAAUUAUUUUUGUUA